GACGAACGCUGGCGGCGUGCUUAACACAUGCAAGUCGAACGAAGUGGCGAACGGGUGAGUAACGCGUAAUCAACCUGCCCUUCAGAGGGGGACAACAGUUGGAAACGACUGCUAAUACCGAAUACUGAAGGAGGGGAUUGCGUCUGAUUAGAUAGUGGGAGGGGUAACGGCCCACCAAGGCGAUGAUCAGUAGCCGGUCUGAUAGGAUGACCGUCCACAGUGGGACUGGGACACGGCCCAGACUCCUACGGGAGGAAGCAGUGGAGAAUCUUCCGCAAUGGACGAAAGUCUGACGGAGCAACGCCGCGUGAGUGAGGACGGCCUUCGGGUUGUAAAGCUCUGUUUAUCGGGACGCGGUACCGGAAUAGAAAGCCACGGCUAACUACGUGCCAGCAGCCGCGGUAAUUC
rnacentral:rRNA from 1 species